rnacentral:rRNA from 1 species
GGGGAAUAUUGGACAAUGGGGGGAACCCUGAUCCAGCAAUGCCGCGUGUGUGAAGAAGGCCUGAGGGUUGUAAAGCACUUUUAGUUGGGAGGAGUAUGCUUCGGUUAAGAGCUAGAGUAUAGGACGUUACCGACAGAAACAGCACCGGCUAACUCCGUGCCAGCAGCCGCGGUAAUACGGAGGGUGCAAGCGUUAAUCGGAAUUACUGGGCGUAAAGGGUGCGUAGGUUGUUGUAUAAGUUAUCUGUGAAAUCCCCGGGCUCAACCUGGGUCGGUCAGAUAAGACUGUAUAACUAGAGUAUAGGAGAGGGUAGUGGAAUUUCCGGUGUAGCGGUGAAAUGCGUAGAGAUCGGAAGGAACACCAGUGGCGAAGGCGACUACCUGGCCGGAUACUGACACUGAAGCACGAAAGCGUGGGUAGCAAAC